ensembl:lncRNA
GUCAGAACCACAGGGAGUCAGUUAGCAGGUCAGAGCCACAGGAGUCAGUUAGCAGGUUGGAACCACAGGGAGACAGUUAGCAGGUUGGAGACACAGGGGAGAGGGUUAGCAGGUUGGAGCCACAGGGAGUCAGUUAGCAGGUCAGAGCCACAGGGAGACAGUUAGCAGGUCAGAGCCACAGGGAGACAAUUAGCAGGUCAGAGCCACAGGGAGACAGUUAACAGGUCAGAGCCACAGGGAGACAGUUAGCAGGUCAGAGCCACAGGGAGACAGUUAGCAGGUCAGAGCCACAGGGAGUGAGCUAGCAGGUCAGAGCCACAGGGAGUCAGUUAGCAGGUCGGAGCCACAGGGAGUCAGUUAGCAGGUCAGAGUCAGAGGGAAACAGUUAGCAGGUUGGAGCCACAGGGAGUCAGUUAGCAGGUCAGAGCCACAGGGAGCCAGUUACCAGGUCAGAGCCACAGGGAGCCAGUUAGCAGGUCAGAGCCACAGGGAGCCAGUUAGCAGGUCAGAGCAACAGGGAGACAGUUAGCAGGUCAGAGCCACAGGGAGACAAUUAGCAGGUCAGAGCCACAGGGAGUCAGUUAGCAGGUCGGAGUCACAGGGAGACAGUUAGCAGGUCGGAGUCACAGGGAGUCAGUUAGCA